UCUACACUAUCCUCUUCGUCGGCAGCGUCAGAUGUGUAUAAGAGACAGGUUAUACAGGAGGGGCAGGUGUUAUUCUUCAUUAUUAGGCGUAAAGGGUCUGUAGGCAAUUUAGUAAGUUGAAGUUUAAGCUUUUAGCUUAACUAAAAGAGAGCUUCAAUACUGCUUUAUUUGAGUUUAAUAGAGGGUAGUAGAAUUCCUAAUGUAGGGAUAAAAUCUGAGAAUAUUAGGAGGAAUUUCAGUGGCGAAGGCAACUACCUGGGUUAUAACUGACGCUGAUAGACGAAGGCUUGGGGAGCAAAUGGGAUUAGAGACCCCAGUAGUCCAAGCUGUAAACGAUGAAUGUUAAGAAUUAGGUUUUAUAAAAUUUAGUUUUAAAGUUAACGCGUUAAACAUUCCGCCUGGGAAGUACGGUCGCAAGAUUAAAACUCAAAGGACUUGACGGGAGUUCGGACCAGUGGUGGAGCAUGUGGUUUAAUUCGAUGAUACGCGAAAAAUCUUACCAAUCUUUGUAUAUAAAUUGUUUUAAAAUCUUAUUAGUAUUAUAAGAUAAAAAUUUAUACAGGUGUUGCAUGGCUGUCGUCAGCUCGUGUCGUGAGAUGUUUGGUUAAUUCCUGUUUAACGAGCGAAACCCUUUCCUUUUAUUUUUUUUUAAUAGGAAGAGCUUUUUUAUUAAAAUAUAGUUAAAGGUACUGCUGAAGAAAUUCAGAGGUAGGUGAGGAUCAAGACAAGUCGUUAUGGCCUUUAUGGAUUGGGCUACACACGUGCUACAAAGGUAAUUACAAUGAGAAGCGAUUAAGUAAUUAUGAGCAAAUCUUUAAAAAUUAUCGAAGUUCGGAUUAUAGACUGAAACUCGUCUAUAUGAAGUUGGAAUCACUAGUAAUCGUGAAUCAGCAUGUCACGGUGAAAAAAUUUACGAACUUUGUACAAACCGCCCGUCAAGCUAGCAAAUUGAGCCUUUUUUGAAGCUUAUAGCUGUCUCUUAUACAC
rnacentral:rRNA from 1 species